GAGGGUAUAGCUCAGUCGUUAGAGCACAUGCUCAGUAUGUGUGAAGUUCUGGGUUCAAUCCUCAGUGCCUCA
rnacentral:tRNA from 1 species